GGAGGAAUCCUGAAGGUGCUUCGCGGCGAUAGAAUUGUGCUGGAGGGAAAGAAGAGGAGCAGAGGACAUUAUUAUUUAGCAAGAAACCCAGUGCGAGGUGGAGCUUUGGAAGCCAGGUGGAGCCCAAAGCGAGGUGGAACUCCAGGUGCAGGUGGAUCAGACACGAGAUAGGAGAUUAGGGAGAAUGAGAGGCGACGUCGUAAGGUGAGAUUCCUAUUGCCGCAGGAUGAUGCCUCAAGUAUGUCUC
rnacentral:lncRNA from 1 species